rnacentral:rRNA from 1 species
UAAAGCUACUAAGAGCUAAUGGAGAAUGCCUUGGUACUGACAGCCGAUGAAGGACGUGUAAAGCUGCGAUAAGCUGCGGGGAACUGCUAAAAGGUCUUGAUCCGCAGAAUUCCGAAUGGGGAAACCCUCUAGGGUUAAAACCUUAGAACCCAUAACUGAAUACAUAGGUUAUGUGGAGGAAAGCCUGUGAACUGAAACAUCUUAGUAACAGGACGAAGAGAAAAUAAACUAAUGAUUCCGAAAGUAGCGGCGAGCGAAAUUGGAACAGCCUAAACCUUGUGUACGUGAUAGACUGCAAUCGUUGUGCAUUGGGUGUUGUGGGACUUACUGAAAUAUUUGCAGGUAUUUCGAAGAGUUACAAAAUUAUUUGUUAGUUGAAUUCAACUGGAAAGUUGAGCCAUAGCGGGUGAUAGCCCCGUAAACGAAAACAAAUGAUCUCUUGUAAGUAUCCCGAGUAAGGCGGGGCACGUGAAACCCUGUCUGAAUCCACCAGGACCAUCUGGUAAGGCUAAAUACUAGUCAGUGACCGAUAGUGAACGAGUACAGUGAUGGAAAGGCGAAAAGAACAGUGAGAAGCUGAGUGAAAUAGAUCCUGAAACCGUUAGCUUACAAUCAGUUAGAGCACUAUUGAUAGUGUGAUAGCGUGCCUGUUGAAGAAUGAGCCGGCGAGUUAUCUUAUGUUGCAAGGUUAAGGAGUUAAUAUCCGGAGCCACAGCGAAAGCGAGUUUGAAUAGAGCGUUAAGUAACAUGCGAUAGACCCGAACCUUGGUGAUCUAACCAUGACCAGGAUGAAGCGUAGGUAACACUACGUGGAGGUCCGAACCGACUGAUGUUGAAAAAUCAGCGGAUGAGUUGUGGUUAGGGGUGAAAUGCCAAUCGAACCAAGAGCUAGCUGGUUCUCCCCGAAAUGCGUUUAGGCACAGCGUCAGAUUUAUCUUACAGGAGGUAGAGCACUGGUUUUGUGCGGGCGACGAAAUGUUGUACCAAACAAUGUCAAACUCCGAAUGCCUGUAAUGUUACUGUCUGGCAGUGAGGCUAUGAGUGAUAAGAUCCAUGGCCAAGAGGGAAACAGCCCAGAACGCCAGUUAAGGUCCCUAAUAUAUGCUAAGUGGUUAAGGAGGUAGAGUUGCUGUGACAACCAGGAGGUUGGCUUAGAAGCAGCCAUCCCUUGAAAGAGUGCGUAAUAGCUCACUGGUCAAGCGACUCCGCGCCGAAAAUACACCGGGACUAAAGCAUAUAACCGAAACUGCGUCAUUAAGUUUACUUAAUGGGUAGGGGAGCGUUCUGUUGUAGGUUGAAGUCAGAUCGAAAGGACUGAUGGACGAAGCAGAAGUGAGAAUGUCGGCAUGAGUAGCGAAAACAUUGGUGAGAAUCCAAUGCACCGAAAACCUAAGGUUUCCCCUGGCAGGCUCGUCCGCGGGGGGUUAGUCGGAACCUAAGCUCAGGCCGAAAGGCGUAGGCGAUGGACAACAGGUUGAUAUUCCUGUACUAUCUGGUAAUCGUUAUCAGAUGCGGAGGGACGCAGGAGGAUAAGCACGCAGACGAUUGGAUGUGUCUGUUUAAGCGUGUAGCUAGUUUGAGUAGGAAAAUCCGCUCAGGCGUUAUGACGUGAGGCGUGAUGAGGAGGCUCUACGGAGCUGAAGGUGUUGAUUCCACACUGCCAAGAAAAUCUUCGCAAUCGAGAUUAUCCGGUAUCCGUACCGUAAACCGCCACAGGUAGGUUGGUAGAAUAUACUAAGGUGCGCGAGACAACUCUCGCUAAGGAACUCGGCAAAAUCACCUCGUAACUUCGGGAGAAGAGGUACCCUGGUAGCGUGUAACGGCUUGCCCGUGAAGCGUGAUAGGGUCGCAGUGAAUUGGCCCAUGCGACUGUUUACCAAAAACACAGGUCUCUGCUAAGUCGAUCAAGACGAUGUAUAGGGGCUGACGCCUGCCCGGUGUCGGAAGGUUACGUGGAAGUGUUAGACCUCGGUCGAAGCACCGAAACUAAGCCCCGAUGAACGGCGGCCGUAACUAUAACGGUCCUAAGGUAGCGAAAUUCCUUGUCAGGUA